rfam:Calypte anna contig3941, whole genome shotgun sequence.
AAAACGGCUCUUUUUAGAGCCACCCACAACGAUCUUAAAAGGUUG